UUAAGGGGUUACAUGGGUUUCACGGUUUCAAAAAAUCGAUUUUUUUUUUUUUGUCUAAUUAAAUUCUAUAACAUCUCUAGAAUAUUGUCCUAAAUUUUCAAAUUGAUCCGAGUAAUAGUUUCGGAGAUACAGCCCUGAAAAGACGGACGCUCCAGGUCAGGUAAUUCAAAGUGUCUAGAGCCGUUUAAAGUGUCUAGAGCCGUUUAAAGUGUCUAGAGCCCAGAUAAGCCAGAGUUCGUCAUCGACAGGAGCAAAAGGAUGCCCUGGACAUUGCAGCUGCAGCAGGUUCUCUACUUUAUGGCCCAGGAAUCGACGAUUCAAUAUAAUCCUGAAAGAAGUUCUGCUGACAACGCGGAGGCACCUUUUUUCCGAGGGACUGCCGGAAAUGGCGUCGUAAUGGCCGCCAUCUUGAUAUUUUUUUUUGAAAAUUUCACAAAAUGUUUAUUAAAUAUGUAUCUUUUAAAUCAUAAAAAGUUUCAUCUAAAUAUUUCAUUUUUUACAUGCAAAAAAAAUUAUUGAAAAAAGGCCGUUUUUUGCCCGACGAAA